rnacentral:rRNA from 1 species
AUGUGCAACAUGAUGUCUCUUGAUCUUAAGAAGACAUUAUAUGAAGUUCAUCCCAGCUUUGUUGAAUUGGAAAGAAUCAAAUCCAUGAGUGUAAGUGAUAGCACACUUGAUAGGCUUGCAGGAAAAGUUCAUGCACUAAAUCAAGAAAAGAAACAGAGGCUCCGGAAGCUACAUGAUCUUGGAGGCACACUCAUUGAGUUAUGGAGUCUAACGGACACACCAUUAGAUGAACAGAAAUGCUUUGAUCAUGUUACUUCUUUGAUUUCAGUCUCACAAAAUACAGUGAUGCCUCAAGGAUGCCUUUCACAUGACCUUAUUAAGAAGAGGUUGAGGUCAAGAGACUGA